rnacentral:rRNA from 1 species
UACGAGGGGGAGCUAGCGUUAUUCGGAAUUACUGGGCGUAAAGCGCACGUAGGCGGCUUUGUAAGUAAGGGGUGAAAGCCCAGAGCUCAACUCUGGAAUUGCCUUUUAGACUGCAUCGCUUGAAUCCAGGAGAGGUGAGUGGAAUUCCGAGUGUAGAGGUGAAAUUCGUAGAUAUUCGGAAGAACACCGAUGGCGAAGGCAGCCAUCUGGACCGACACUGACGCUGAGGCGCGAAAGCGUGGGGAGCAAACAGG